rnacentral:rRNA from 1 species
CCUACGGGAGGCAGCAGUCGAGAAUCAUUCACAAUGGGGGAAACCCUGAUGGUGCGACGCCGCGUGGGGGAAUGAAGGUCUUCGGAUUGUAAACCCCUGUCAUGUGGGAGCAAAUUAAAAAGAUAGUACCACAAGAGGAAGAGACGGCUAACUCUGUGCCAGCAGCCGCGGUAAUACAGAGGUCUCAAGCGUUGUUCGGAAUCACUGGGCGUAAAGUGUGCGUAGGCGGUUUCGUAAGGCGUGUGUGAAAGGCGCGGGCUCAACCCGCGGACGGCAGAUGAUACUGCGAGACUAGAGUGAUGGAGAGGGAACCGGAAUUCUCGGUGUAGCAGUGAAAUGCGUAGAUAUCGAGAGGAACACUGGUGGCGAAGGCAGGUUCCUGGCCAUUAACUGACGCUGAGGCACGAAGGCCAGGGGAGCGAAAGGGAUUAGAUACCCCAGUAGUC